GAUUUUGGUGGAAAUGCAGCAAAGGCAGGACUUAGGGCUGGAGACCAAGUAUUGUACACAAGCAGCUUCUUUGGGGAUGAGCUGCGGCCUGUUGAUAAGCUGGGUUUUACCAAAACAGCUAUCCAAGCAAAGCCAGACUCUGUUUAUUUUGUAGUAAACAGGGGAGCAGAGGUAGAUGUAAAAAGACUAACUAAGAGGCCUGCUCCUCCUCGAUUUGGUCGCACCUUGACUGAAGCACAAAA